AAAGGACAUUAUUUUUCCUUUCAUUGGGAAAGCGUCUUGAACAAGAAAAGGUUAUUCGGAGAGCCAGGUGCUGAAGUAGGAACGGGGACAGUCAUGUGCUA